UCACCCAGGGGCGGCGGGGGCGCUGCCUUGCCCGCUUGUGCGCCGGGGCUCAGUGCGGGCUAUGGGGAGCUACUUAGCGCCAACACCGCCCCCUGCACGAUUAGGGUGAGGAUGACGGCGGCAGGCUUGUUGCGUAACACGGCUGCGAAACCGGGCUCUCGAAGUCCUCGUCCCCACCCCCAGCCUGGCCACGUGGAGCUGUGGCUGCGGAGCGCGGCUUUUCUGGGGUCUGGAGAGCACCGCGUCAGGUCGGCCAAUGGGUAGGACACCCUAGCUCGGGAGUGUCGUUUCUGCCCCAGUCACGGCCCCUCACCCUUCCAGGGCCAUCGAAGAGACAUUUAAAAAGACAGGAGCGAGGCCACUGGGCCUCGAAUCCUUGUCGUAACUCCGGGGCUGUGAAGGCACGUGGAGUCUACACCUCGCCUUUACAGAGGGGCAGGGCCGGCCUUGGCGCAGAAGCAGAGUUGGCGGUGACCACGGACGAGGUUUCCCAGAAAUUUCUUUGGAUUCCUUUAUUCUACCAAACCCGGACUUCCUCUCUUGCCUUGCUACAUCCCUACCCCAGCCACAACUUAGAUAAGAAUUUUGGAAAUUUUAGCUGUCUUCCAGCCUCUACCCCACAGUCCCCUGGCUUCUGCCCCAGGAGUUCCAGCAGGAGUUUCAUUAGCAUGCUUGGCCUUAUUCUCCCAAAACCAUUAUUUUUUGUG
rnacentral:lncRNA from 1 species